rnacentral:lncRNA from 1 species
UUAUAUCUGAUAAUAUAUUUUUAGAUCUAAUUAUUUAUUAUUUAUAUUAAUCUAAAUAUAUUUUAUUUUUAGAUCUGAUUUUAUAUAUUAGAUUAGAUGAUCUGAGUGGUAAAGUACUCAGAUUGGGUAAUCACCAGGCCAUCCGGUUAUAGGAGGAAGUAGGAUUACAUGACUCUCUCCUUCCAUUCAAUGGGAUACUCUUCAUGGC